GCCCCCUAGCCCGAGCAGCGCCUGGGGCCACCUUUUCCCCCAUCCCCCACUGCCUAUCUCCAGCCCGGAGAAGGACCUACCCGGGGGUUCCCAGGCGCGGGACGAAAAGCCACCGCAUCCCCAACUCCUCACUACCCCCCGACCCCCUCCCGCGCGCCGUCGGCUUGGGCAGUGCGGCCUGCGGCGCUCCGGACAAGAUUUGCCACGUCCGGGAGCCAGAGAACCCCUCUGAGCUGCAUGCUUCCUGCCCUGGAAUCUGCAGGAUGUGGACUACAGCCUGAUGCAGUGUAGUGCAGUGGCCAAACAAAGUCAAGAGCUGCUGGAUUUCCUGAAGUCAAAGAAAAUGAUGCUGGGGAAUUGCUCCCACCACACAAAGAGUCACUAAUCGAGGUCUGGCUGAGUUAGCUGGUUCUGAACCGGAGAGACAUCCACAAGCAGGAGGCAUGAUGGGAGUUUCCACAAGAAGACCCUUUGAAGAACAAAGUAUCAAGAGACACUCUUGGUACAACUGAUGAAGACCUUGAAGCAUUUUUGCCAAAAUGACCGUCUUUAUGUUGGUGCGCGAAAGUCAAGGGUGACUUAGAGGCCCUUGUGCCACUAGAUGUUUUGCUGGGGGAGGAGAGAGAAAAGCUUUGAACUCCCAAACAAACGUAUUAGCACUUUAUUACUAAGAAUUAUAGUGCACAAUUGCAUUUAGAUGCUACAUUUUGUUAAAUUAAAGUUAAAUAACUUAU